rnacentral:rRNA from 1 species
GUGGAUUAGAUACCCGGGUAGUCCACGCCGUAAACGAUGAAUACUAGGUGUGGGGGUUGUCAUGACCUCCGUGCCGCCGCUAACGCAUUAAGUAUUCCGCCUGGGGAGUACGGUCGCAAGAUUAAAACUCAAAGGAAUUGACGGGGGCCCGCACAAGCAGCGGAGCAUGUGGUUUAAUUCGAAGCAACGCGAAGAACCUUACCUAGACUUGACAUCUCCUGAAUUACUCUGUAAUGGAGGAAGCCCUUCGGGGCAGGAAGACAGGUGGUGCACGGCCGUCGACAACU